UUAUUUAUGGUUCUAAUGUGAUUAAAAGGAAAGAUGAGUUCGAAUCUCACACGGUCCCGCCACUGUAAGGAUGACAAAAUCAGGAAAACCACUGUAUAAGCUUAUAUGGGAAGGUCUGAGAGUAGGUUGAAUCUAAGUCAGGAGACCUGCCAUAAAUUUAUA
rnacentral:ncRNA from 1 species